rnacentral:rRNA from 1 species
CGGAGGGUGCGAGCGUUAAUCGGAAUUACUGGGCGUAAAGCGUGCGUAGGCGGUUGAUUAAGCGAGAUGUGAAAUCCCGGGGCUUAACCUUGGAACUGCAUUUCGAACUGGUCGACUAGAGUUUUGUAGAGGGUGGUGGAAUUUCCAGUGUAGCGGUGAAAUGCGUAGAGAUUGGAAGGAACAUCAGUGGCGAAGGCGGCCACCUGGACAAAAACUGACGCUGAGGCACGAAAGCGUGGGUAGCAAACAGGAUUAGAUACCCUGGUAGUCCACGCCGUAAACGAUGUCAACUAGCUGUCUGUGUUUUAAACGUGGGUAGCGUAGCUAACGCGCUAAGUUGACCGCCUGGGGAGUACGGCCGCAAGGUUAAAACUCAAAUGAAUUGACGGGGGCCCGCACAAGCGGUGGAGCAUGUGGUUUAAUUCGAUGCAACGCGAAGAACCUUACCAUCCCUUGACAUCCAGAGAAUUUUCUAGAGAUAGAUUAGUGCCUUCGGGAACUCUGAGACAGGUGCUGCAUGGCUGUCGUCAGCUCGUGUUGUGAAAUGUUGGGUUAAGUCCCGCAACGAGCGCAACCCUUAUCCUUACUUGCCAGCGGGUAAUGCCGGGAACUUUAAGGAGACUGCCGGUGAUAAACCGGAGGAAGGUGGGGACGACGUCAAGUCAUCAUGGCCCUUACGGGAUGGGCUACACACGUGCUACAAUGGCGUAUACAGAGUGCAGCGAGACCGCGAGGUGGAGCGAAUCACACAAAGUACGUCGUAGUCCGGAUUGGAGUCUGCAACUCGACUCCAUGAAGUCGGAAUCGCUAGUAAUCGUAGAUCAGAAUGCUACGGUGAAUACGUUCCCGGGCCUUGUACACACCGCCCGUCACACCAUGGGAGUGGGUUGCAAAAGAAGUGGCUAGU